rnacentral:rRNA from 1 species
UACGAAGGGGGCUAGCGUUGCUCGGAAUCACUGGGCGUAAAGGGCGCGUAGGCGGCCUGAUCAGUCGGGGGUGAAAGCCUGUGGCUCAACCACAGAAUGGCCUCGAUACUGUCAGGCUUGAGACCGGAAGAGGUAAGUGGAACUGCGAGUGUAGAGGUGAAAUUCGUAGAUAUUCGGAAGAACACCGGUGGCGAAGGCGGCGAGCUGGUCCGUAUCUGACGCUGAGGCGCGGACAGCGUGGGGAGCAAACAGG